CAUGCAUGUCUAAGUACAAGCCUCAGUAAGGUGAAACCGCGAAUGGCUCAUUAAAUCACACCUAAUCUACUGGAAAGUUACUAGUUACUUGGAUAACUGAGGUAAUUCUUGAGCUAAUACAUGCGAAAAAUCUCGACUCACGGAGAGAUGCUUUUAUUAGAUCAAAACCAAACGGCUUCGGCCGUCUCAUUGGUGACUCUGAAUAACUUUGGGCUGAUCGUAUGGCCUUGUGCCGACGACGUUUCCUUCGAAGGUGUGCCCUAUCAACUGUCGACUGUGAUAUAGACGCUCACAGUGGUUUUGACGGGUAACGGGGAAUCAGGGUUCGAUUCCGGAGAGGGAGCCUUAAAAACGGCUACCACAUCCAAGGAAGGCAGCAGGCACGCAAAUUACCCAAUGACCGAAGGUCGAGGUAGUGACGAAAAAUAACGAUACAGGACUCAUCCGAGGCCCUGUAAUUGGAAUGAGUACACUUUAAAACCGUUCCCGAGGAUCUAUUGGAGGGCAAGUCUGGUGCCAGCAGCCGCGGUAAUUCCAGCUCCAAUAGCGUAUAUUAAAGUUGUUGUGGUUAAAAAGCUCGUAGUUGGAUCUCGGCGGACAGAAGUCGGUCCGAAUGCUUUCGGUACUGGCUUGUUUGUCCGUGUGUUUUGCCAGAGGCAGGCGGGUGCUCUUCGCCGAGUGUCCGUUUGUGCUGGCAGGUUUACUUUGAAAAAAUUAGAGUGCUCAAAGCAAGCUCUUACGCUUGAAUAUUCGUGCAUGGAAUAAUAGAAUAGGAUGUCGUUUCUAUUUUGUUGGUUUUCGGAAAUCGACAUAAUGAUUAAUAGGGACAGUCGGGGGCAUUUGUAUUCAAACGACAGAGGUGAAAUUCUUGGACCGUUUGAAGACAAACUACUGCGAAAGCAUUUGCCAAGAAUGUUUUCAUUAAUCAAGAACGAAAGUUAGAGGUUCGAAGGCGAUUAGAUACCGCCCUAGUUCUAACCAUAAACGAUGCCAGCUAGCGAUCUGCAGGCGUUUUACUUUACGACCUUGCAGGGAGCUUCCGGGAAACCAAAGCUUGUGGGUUCCAGGGGAAGUAUGGUUGCAAAGCUGAAACUUAAAGGAAUUGACGGAAGGGCACCACCAGGAGUGGAGCCUGUGGCUUAAUUUGACUCAACACGGGAAAUCUCACCAGGCCCGGACACGAGAAGGAUUGACAGAUUGAUAGCUCUUUCUUGAUUUCGUGGGUGGUGGUGCAUGGCCGUUCUUAGUUGGUGGAGUGAUUUGUCUGGUUAAUUCCGAUAACGAACGAGACUCUGUCCUGCUAACUAGUGUCUGCUUCUUUUCUGAGCAGAUUAUUCUUCUUAGAGGGACUGGUAGCUCUUAGCUACACGAGAUUGAGCAAUA
rnacentral:rRNA from 1 species